AUUAGGAGCUGGAAUGAAAGAGGCGACGAAAUCUAGACUAUUUAAGUUUUAAUAUAAAUUGACAAGCGGGUCAAAAGGCCCGCAUGGGCCAGGGGGACGAUAAGACCCUAUAAAACUUUACUUUCGGGCCGGUACCCGGCGGGAUGUGAGGGGUCUGAGAGUUUAACUGGGGCGGUUAUUAUAGAAACAAUUAUACAUGAAAUAUAUUAUAUAGAUUGGUAGAACUCUCUAGAGAAAUAGAACAAGUUACUUUAGGGAUAACAGCGUGAUCCCCCCAGAGAGUCCUGAUUGGCGGGGGGGCUUACGACCUCGAUGUUGAAUUGGGGUUUCCUAUAUAAGCAAAUAUAUAUAUAGAUAGUCUGUUCGACUAUUAAACUCCC
rnacentral:rRNA from 1 species